AGAGAUAAAAACACAUUACACUUACUAGCAUAUAUAAGCACAAUUAGUUAGGAAGAUGUAAUAAGCCUAAAUACCUUCUGUUUACGAAGUGUGUUUGAUGUAUCAUAUAUUAAUAUAGUGUUGUUAUAUGCGUAAAAUAAGUUUGUUUUUUCCGCUUUUAGUUAGCGACUAAGGUUUUUUCUGAUACAUUGAUGCGGAAGGUGCGAGGUAGCUCUUCGCAUUACUUCUUAUCAUACUAAAUUAACUAGUAUUUAAUAGUUAAAAUUUAUUUUUCCUAAUUAUUUUUGUAAAUAGUUAUCAAUUAAAAUUAAACAAUAACUUAAGAAAAUGUUGAAAUUAUAACUUACAUAUAGCUCAAACACAUGUACAACAACAAGCAAGUUGGCCAAAAUGUUUUAUAGUAAUUAGUAAUUACUGCAACGAGUUAGUUUAAAUAUAUGAUAUCAACGUAAUGAAGCUUUUUUUUUUUUUUUUUUUAAUUUUCUGGCGUUUUCAAGCAUCUGAUACCACUUGCUG
rnacentral:sRNA from 1 species